GCGGACAAAAGAUUACGGUAGUCGGUCGGUGUGCCACACCGGCAGCGCGGGUUCGACUCCCGCUGUCCGCACCA
rnacentral:tRNA from 1 species